rnacentral:SRP_RNA from 1 species
GCCGCGUGUGGUGGCGGGCGCCUGUAGUCCCAGCUACUCGGAGAGGCUAAGGCAGGAGAAUGGCGUGUACCCGGGAGGCGGACCUUGCAGUGAGCCGAGAUUGCGCCACUGCACUCUAGCCUGUGCGACAGUGCAAGACUCCGUCUCAAAAAAAAAAAAAAAAAAAUAUAUAUAUAUAUAUAUAUAUAUAUAUUUUUUUUUUUUUUUUUUUGAGACGGAGUCUUGCUCUGUCGCCCAGGCUAGAGUGCAGUGGCGCAAUCUCGGCUCACUGCAAGGUCCGCCUCCCGGGUUCACGCCAUUCUCCUGCCUU